AGCAGCCGCGGUAAUUCCAGCUCCAAUAGCGUAUAUUAAAGUUGUUGCAGUUAAAAGCUCGUAGUUGAAUUUCGGGAUCAGUUGGUCGGUCGUGCCUCGGUACGUACUGGUCAAAUUUGAUUCCUACCUUCUGACGAACCACGAUGUCAUUAAUUUGGUGUCGCGGGAAAUCAGGACUGUUACUUUGAAAAAUUAGAGUGUUUAAAGCAGGCUCGCGCUUGAAUACAUUAGCAUGGAAUAAUGAAAUAGGACGUUUGAUUCUAUUUUGUUGGUUUCUAGGAUCGACGUAAUGAUUAAUAGGGAUAGUUGGGGGCAUUAGUAUUCAAUUGUCAGAGGUGAAAUUCUUGGAUUUAUUGAAGACUAACUACUGCGAAAGCAUUUGCCAAGGAUGUUUUCAUUAAUCAAGAACGAAAGUUAGGGAUCGAAGACGAUCAGAUACCGUCGUAGUCUUAACCAUAAACUAUGCCGACUAGGGAUCGGAUGAUGUUUAAUUUUUAAUGUACUCAUUCGGCGCCUUAAC
rnacentral:misc_RNA from 1 species